UGAUUCCUCUACACAGUCAGAGCUGGAUGCUUUAUUGCUCAGUAUUCUGCAGCUGAUUGUCAAGAGUAAGCAGAAAAGAGGGCUGAAUUUCAAGCAAGCCAAGAUGCAAAAAAAGGAGGCUUUAAUAAAUCAAGCUGCAAAGAGGACCCCCAGACAAGCAAAACUCAAAGAAGACCCCUGCACAAGGCAAAUCGCCUGGAAGAAACAAACCAGCAGAGCUGCCGGGAAGAGCUGAAGCACCUGGAAGGGACACUCUUCACCCUUCUGAGCUGCCUACAGGCUGUGCAGUGUGCUCCAGGUUUCCAGCUUCUGUGAGCUGUCACCCAUGCUGAUGUGAGCUUUGGUGAUGCAGCUGUCUGAGUUAUUUCUACUCCCAUAUGUAAACUCUCACCCAUAUUCCUCAAGGGAAUACAAGAAGAAGAAAAAAAGCCUACCAUGACAGUUCUCCAGAGGACAGUACCUAACAAUAUCUGAGUAGCAUGCUCAGCAGAAAGCACAGCCACACUGGAGGACAUCAGGAGAACCCAGCUAAGUAUUGCAUGGUCCGGGUUCCGCACCAGGCCUUGCUCCUCCUUCAGUUGCUUGAUACUCUGUUUCUCGUGCACUGAGACCAGCUGACCCGCCUCGACCGCCUUCACAAAGGCCACUGUUCUGGGAGAAGGCUUGUCCAACACUAUAGUGUUCUGAAUAAUGAACAUGAGAGGAAUUCCAGGAGUCCUCUUGACUUUCACAGAUAAGUUCUGAUCCUAUUAAAAAGGAAAGGGGUUUGGUUUCUCAAUCAAAAUUAGAACCUAAAAUUAAGUUUCUAUUAAAAAAGGCUAGAUGGGGAAAAAAAGAACUAUAUGUUUUCUUUUUCAGAUGACAUGUCUUAUUAAUCAAAAUGUAUCUUACGGUAGAGGACAGAAAACAUAAAGACUAAGCAGAAUGAAGCCACUCAACAGCAGUCGGGGCUGGAUCAGUCAACACUCUGGGCCCACGAAUUAUCAACCAAUGCAACAGAAAAUACAUUAGAAACUUUCUCUUGCCUUUCCACUAGAUAUUCUCUCGAAACAUCGACAAGGGAAGAGGUUGGAGCAGAGUAAUAAGCUGACUCCACAAUCAUAUCUGUAUACCUCAUGUGUGCCUAGGUGGCCGUAAGAUGGCGGUGGGUUCCUUGAGACUGUAGGUACACAUGGUUGAGAGCAGCUGUAUAGGUGUUGGGAAUUAAACCAAGAGCAGCCAGCUCUUAACCCCUGAGCCAUCUCUGCAGCCUCCUGAUGCUAAUCUCAGAGCACAUGCACCAUGAGCUGAGAAGCAGGAAUUCAGGAACAUGCUAGGUUAUGAGUCCAGAAGGCAGAGACUGCCCGACUCCUCCCUGCUUGAAGAACCGUGACGCAAUCAGCACACUACUGCAACAGCUCCUCAGCCUCUAGAAGGAAACUUCUGAAGGAAAAAAAGUCCCCCAAACUUAGUCUCCUCCUCAUAUGUUCAAAUGGACCAGAUACAAUGAGCCUUCCAGAUACUGAAGAGGACUCCAGGUCACUAUUACAACUUCAAAAAUCACUAACACAGAAUCAACAACAACUUAUGUAUCCUGUUUGAAUCCUGAUUUUAAAAAAU
rnacentral:lncRNA from 1 species